UAAUAGGAACAAAUUGGUCUCCCUGGUGUGCAUGCUCGAUUCCUCCAUUCCUAAGGUCUCAAGAUGUGUGUUUACAAUGGCCUCCUUAAAGGCGUAUAUUUUUAAUAUCUGAAUAUUGAAUUUCACAGAACAUAGGAGGCAUGCAUAACACUUUCUGUCAGCUGACUUAUACAAAUUCUGGUGGUCGCUGAUACUGGAAUCAAGCAACAACAUUCUGAUAAUCUACCGGAUGGAGUACCAGAUCAUAAGGUAUAAAAUUAAGAAGCAUUCCAUUAUAUACGUAGAGGAACGGUGAAUCAGAAUGCCAAUAUGAGGAUGAAGGUCAUGUAUGCCUCAUUUGACGAUGGUGAUGCAAAGCUAGACGAAGUGAAGAUGGUCUAAGGUUUUGAGAUCACUCUCAAGAAGCUAACUAAUUAGCUGGGAAUGAACAUCACCAAAAUGACUAAAAUCUAUUUCGCUGGCUCAUCGCCUAAUCAUACUGGGAAAGCGUGUGGGGUGGAGUCGACAACUAGGCGUAGCCGAUCCCGGAUGCUGGGGACGAAGAUGUCACCACAGACUGCAGCAUGAUAGGCAAUGCUGGAGAUAUCUUCAGAACACUGGAGACGACGCCCCAGAUUGCCAACACCAGCUCUACGUGGGCUGUACACUUUGGUAUUUCACAGGUGCUAUUGGCAUAUGAAACUGAUGUCAAUCAGUGACGCCCAGUGUAUGAACUAACAACAAAGAAAACUCUUGCAUCAUCAUUGUACUUCAUAAACUACUUUUGAUUGACUAUGAAAAAUAUACC